UACGGGGGGAGCAAGCGUUGUUCGGAUUUACUGGGCAUAAAGGGCGCGUAGGCGGCUCGAUAAGUCAGGGGUGAAAUCCGGGAGCUUAACUGUCGCAGUGCCUUUGAUACUGUGGAGCUAGAGGGAGGUAGGGGUCUGUGGAACUUCCGGUGGAGCGGUGAAAUGCGUUGAUAUCGGAAGGAACGCCGGUGGCGAAAGCGACGGACUGGAUCUCUUCUGACGCUGAGGCGCGAAAGCCAGGGGAGCAAACGGG
rnacentral:rRNA from 1 species